UACGUAGGGGGCAAGCGUUGUCCGGAAUCAUUGGGCGUAAAGAGCGUGUAGGCGGCCCGGUAAGUCCGCUGUGAAAGUCCAGGGCUCAACCCUGGGAUGCCGGUGGAUACUGUCGGGCUCGAGUCCGGAAGAGGCGAGUGGAAUUCCCGGUGUAGCGGUGAAAUGCGCAGAUAUCGGGAGGAACACCUAUGGCGAAGGCAGCUCGCUGGGACGUUACUGACGCUGAGACGCGAAAGCGUGGGGAGCAAACAGG
rnacentral:rRNA from 1 species